rnacentral:lncRNA from 1 species
AGAAUGCCAUCUCUAGGAUGCCAAUGGGCUGUGUCUACAGUACUAUGUAGGAAAGUGCUGCAAGAGUGACUCUGGAAGGUUGUGCUGAGAACUCUGAAGGCUUGCUGUGACUUUUUGGAGAGCCCAUUUUGCCUAAACAAGAACCACGAUUAUGUAAAGAAAUCAUAAACACCUCUAAAACACAUGUAUACUGGUGGUGUUAGUCAACUUAUAUCACUGUCUGUGAAGACGAUGCAGCAAAUUCAAUGAAAGUUGUAUACAUCAUGGAAAAGUUUGAAUUGCAUGAAGAAAAGAAGCUGACGGAAGUUCUUUCUGUCACCUCUCUGAAGACCUGGUUCAUAUCUGCAGCUGCAACUCUAUCCCUGAACUCAUCUUUGAAACUACCCAGAGAUAGACUGUCAAGAGCUUCAGAGCUUUACAACAGGAUCUUCCAAGUGCCCUGAGAGGUCAUGAUGGAGCCAAUAGAAAUAAAUCAUACAAAACAAAGCCAGAACCUGGUGGGAGGGAUGCUUACAAAACAACAUAAACGAGAAGUUGUCUGAAAAAAAAUUGUAUGGAAGGAAGAAGAGAUGAGAUAAGGGAAAUGAACUCAUAAUAGCCCCAGUUAAAAUACUUACAGUAAAAUAUCAUUAGUACUACUUGAUGUUGGUGAAAGGCUCUAGACUCAAGUCAGAAGGCCCAAUUUGUUGCUGUGAUUUCUUGAACAAAUUAUGUAAUUGUGUUGAGAUUCAGUUUUCUUUUCUAUCAUUGGGUAUUAAUAACUUCUAUGUGAUGUCAGAGUUAUGAUGUGAAGUUAAAAUAACUAAUAAAUGGGUAAACCCUGAAAAUUUGAUAGAAUUUUGUGAAUGAGAGAAUCUUACAAAUACAGUACCUGAAACCAAAAGAAUUAAGUCUCAGCUUGAGGAAUAUCAGAUACUAGGGCAGGCUAAUGGGAUAAAGGUCUCAUUGAUCUGCCACCUUCAGUCACACUGAAAUGGGGCUAUAUUUUUUUUAUUUACUUACCUACCAGUACUGCCAAUAGUCAAAAUAGUACUACUUUCCAAGUUAUUUAACUUUUUUAGUAUAACAGAAAAAAAAAUCAUUUCUAGUUUUCAAGGCAUGGAUUCAAUGAGUAAUAUAGAUUUAUAUCACUUGGUGAAGACAUGGCAAUUUCCCUGAUACCACUGAAAAAUAAAUUUAAAAAUGCUAUUUGAUACCUUCUUUAAAAGCUUUUUUUGUUUGUUUCUUUGCUGAAAUGGCAAGGAUUGAAGAUAAUUGGAUUUACAAAACAACAUAGCAAGAGCUCCCAAUUUCAGUAUUGUGACAGGUCCAUUGAUAAAACCUGCUCAGGCAGAGACCAAGUUGGAAGGAAGGAUAGGUUAUUAUUUUAGUUCUCCUGAGGUAAAAUAAAUAUUCUUAAAAACGUGCAUCCAUCCAUCCUCUUUUAAGUAGAGAGGUCAUCAGUCUCUUUCCUUAUUAAAAUGAGCACAAACUGAACAUGCAUAGAUUGAUUCUCUCUAUUCAGUUGCAGUUUGAAACUUAGCCUGCUACACAUUUUAACAGAAUUUUCUACACAUUUUAACAGACACACACUUUCUACACAUUUUUAACAGAAGCAUUUUAACAGACAUUUCUCAAUGUGGCUCUCUGACUUUAUGACAUCAGAGGAAGCAGUCUUCAACCUGGUAAAAAACGUAAAGAAAAUGCAAUGUCUACUUAUAAACUUAACAAGAAUAUCAAUGACAACUAUUUUACCAAUGAAUUUAAAGAUUUGGAGAUUUCACAUAAUAGCCAGUAGCUCUUUGACAUAAAUAUAAAGCUAUAUAAUCCACAAUUCCAUUCUUUGCUUAUUUUAUGUUUUUCUGAAGUAGUUAUUGAGCACCUAUUGUGUGUAAAGAGCUGGAAUGGACAUAAGAAUACAGAAUGGCAAUAGGUUCAAAGAAUGCCAAGUACAGGAAGAGGAAAGAUGCUGAGUUCUUGUCUGGAUUUGACUUUAAUUAGUUUUAUGACCUUGGUUAAGUCACUUCUCCCAUGUAAAUCAUUGAACACUUUUUUAUUGAGGGCUUCCCAUAGGUAGAAACAAGAAUGACUGAGGAACAAAUAAACCCGGCCUCAGCCUUUGUGGAACUGACAUGGUAGUGGGUAAGAUAAAUAUUAAAGAAUUAAACACAUAAACAAAUAUAAGUAAAGAUUAUAUAAAGUGUAACCAAAAGUAAAUAAUGUUAAAGAAUUUUUAAACAUUGAGCUUCUGAUUCAAUCGGCCAGUCAUGGAAUACUUAUCCGAGGAAGCAAAAUUUAGACUGAUACUUGAAGGAAGAAAGAUUGCUGGGUGUAAAUAACAAACGUGGAAGCGUAACAGAUCUGAGGAAGUUCAGGCCAGUGUGGUUGAAACGCAGAGACCAAACGGAAGAAGGCAAAGGAUGAGACUUACUAACCAGACACUGCCCAAAUCCUGCAAGGCCUUACAGACAUGGUCCGCGUCACCUUUAGGAGCUGUAACACUCACCGCGAAGGUCUGCAGCUUCACUCCUGAAGCCAGCGAGACCACGAACGCACCGGGAGGGAUGAACAACUCCGGACGGGAGGAACGAACAACUCCAGACGCGCCAUCUUAAGAGCUGUAACGCUCACUGCGAAGGUCUGCAGCUUCACUCCUGAAGCCAGCAAGACCACGAACCCACCAGAAGGAAGAAACUCUGAACACAUCUGAACAUCAGAAGGAACAAACUCCAGACACGCCACCUUUAAGAACUGUAACACUCACCGCGAGGGUCCGCAGCUUCGUUCUUGAAAUCAGUGAGAUGAAGAACCCACCAAUUCCAGACACAGUAACACCAGUUAUCACUGAUUGCAGUUCAUCAUAACAGAUAUAAUAAUAAUUUAAAAGUUUGAAAUAUUAUGAAAAUUACCAAAAUGUAACACAGACACAUGAAGCAUUGGAAAAAUGGCACCAAUAGUGUUGUUUGAUGUAGCAUUACCAUAAAUCUUAGAUUUGUAAAUAACAAAGUAUUUGUGAAGCACAGUAAAGCAAAGCACAAUAAAAAUGACGUGUGCUUGUAUUUUAAAAGAACAGAUUGAAUUGGGAAGGGUAGUUGAGGAACUGGAAGCAGAGAGAACAGGUACAAGAUUCACGUAGUAGUCCAAGAAAAUUAAAGCAAGUAGAAAAACUAACAGAAGUUCAGGAUAAAAGAUUUUGAGGCCUUAACUACACAUUUCCAGAAGGAAUGGAAAAAGGUCAGAAAUGAGAAUGUGGAAAUAUCCUCAGCUGAUUUGACUGUAAGUAGAAAGUGUUGGCAUAAAAAAAAUGGACGAAGCCAAAAAACUCAUGGAAUGAUGAAUAAUUAAAUAAAUUGAGGUCUCCUUAUCAAAAACAAAAAUGAAGACAUGUAGAUAGAAAUUUAUAUGUCUUUACUCUGUAAAGCUGGGAGAAUACCCAGAAGGUAUUUAGGAAGUAUGUGAUAAAAAUUUAAGAUUGGAGUUAAUGAACCAGAGAUAGGCAUGAGACACAUAAUAGGUAAUAAUACAGGUUAGCUGGUAAGAUCUUUGGAGCACAGCAAGCUUGGAUUUGAGUUAGUAAUAAUAAUUAUGCACUGCACAUUUUAGCCUUUAUAAUUUUUCACUGGUUCUUCCACUUAAUAGGCAUCUUUUAACAUCUAUUAAGUGUAGGAAAAUACUAAGAGCUGGAGAUACAGCAGUAAUAAAUAAAGUUUAUUUAAGUAAGUGUAAAGUUAAUAAAACACAGUCCCUAAUCUCAUUACUCUUACACUGAGAGAUUUUCACAUUCAAAAUUUACUGAGCACCUAUUGGGUACAGAGGACUUGGAUGGGCAAAUGAAUACAAUAUGUCUCUUGCUGUGUUGUUGGAACAAGUGGAAUGCUGGGGACAUCCAAAGAAAGGAGACCACAUGGAGGAGGUGAUAUUGGAUCUUGAGGGAUGAUUAAGAGUCAUCAAACAAACGACAUUUAUAUAUAUAUUAUAAUAUCAUCUCCUGUAAUCUCGCUCACACCCUGUGAGGACCAAGUAAAUAUAUUAAAGAUGUAUUUCUUAUAGAAUAUUCUGAGCAAGAUGAGAGAAAGGAUAGUAUGAUAGCCCUGUCAGUCCUUGUAUUCCUCUCCCUAAUUUCACUGUUUUGUUGAAAGUGUUUGUUUGGUUUUUUUAAUAGUUUUUAUUUUGUAUUUAGCUCUAGACAAAAGAACAGUACUAUUCCUUGAAAACAUUUAUUCUUUAGGGAUAUGAAGUGGUAUGUUUGCCCAACAAAAUACACAAUUUCUAAAAUAUUAUGACUAAUUCAAGCAAAUGUAUUCUCUAAAGAAAAAUUUCCACUUCACUUUGUCUACAUAGAGGUAGAUUUAAUAAACAAGUUAUAACAAAAGUCUUCUGUCAGUAUUUUUCCUCAGCACUAUUAUAAAGGGUGGUAAAAAUUCCUUUCUUUGACAAAAGAGACUUUUUCCUCUUUUCCCCCAAGACACUAAUGAAUAUAAAUGUGCAAGUAAAAUAUUUUCACUUAGAUUCACAGUGUCUGACACUAAUAUACUCUAGAGCAUUUAAAUUUUUCCUCAACUUAAAACUAACUGCCAAUUUUUAAAAUGUUAAUUAUUAUUCCCCAAAUUAAGUAAGAAUAAUAAUAUAUUUUGCAUAGCAAGCAUUGUGCCUUCUAAGAAAAGAGGCAUUUUAUUUUCUGUUUAACUAUCUUCUUUCUGUCGAUCAGUGUCAGUAGCUUGUCAAAAACAAGUCAAGGACAACCUGCUUUGAUAUCUAUGCAAAUAGGAUUCAAUUAUCCCCAAUGAGUUUGCAAAACUUGCAGAAGUCAUUAAUUUGAAAAACAUGAGGAUUAAUGCAGGGGAUUUGGAACCUAUGUCAAAGACGUUUUAAAAUUACUACCAUAUAAACUUUGAUUCUUAAACGCAGAAAAUGCCUAAUGCAGCUAAUUUUAACUACUAUGAACUAUAACUUACAUAAUAAAAACACAACUGGCUAACAUUAUUAUCCUCUUUCUUGCAUAAUUUGUCUAAAAAUUAACAUCUCAUGCUUCUCUUAACUGAAGAACUUCUUCUAACAUUUCCUUUAUGCAAGUCUGCCAAUAAUUAAUUCUUUCAAGUUUUUUUAUUUUGCCUGAAAAAAGUAUUUAUUUCUUCUUCAUUUUAAUAUAAUUAAUAGACUAUUUUAGCACAGUUUUAGAUUUUCUAAAAACUUGCAAAGAAACUGCAAAAAGUUUCUGUGAACCUCACCCCCAAUUUCUCCUAUGAUUAGUAUCUUACAUUACUAUAGUAUAAUUGUUACAAUUAAUGGAUUAAUAUUGAUAUAUAGUUACUAGCAAAAGUCCAUGGUUUAUUCCUUCUUUAUUUAUUUAUUUUUAGUUUUUAUGUAACAUCCUUCAACUUUUUGUUUUUCUUCAGGACACUAUUUUUCUUCAGUAUUGUAUUGGCAAUUCUAGAUCUUUUGCCUUUCCAUAUAAACUUUGAAAUACAUUUGUCAAUAUCUCCACUAUACCUGGCUGAGAUAUUGAUUGGGAUUGUGUUGAAUCUAUAGACAAAGUUGAAAGAAAGUGACAUCUUAGCAAUACUGAACAUUCUAAUCUAUGAAGAUGAAAUAUAUCUUCAUGUUCUUUUAUCUUUUUUGAUUUAUCAGGGUUUUGUAGUUUUCUCCAUAUGACACCCACACAUUUUCAUGAUGUUUACACCUAAGUAUUUAUUUUUCUUUUUUGGUAUUAUUGUAAAAGUUAUUUAAAAGGCUUACUUUUUUAUUUCAAAUUCUGAAUGUUCCUUACUGGUAUACAGGAAAGCAUUUGACUUUCGUGUAUUUACUUUGUGCCCUGUAACCUUGUUAAAUUUGAUCAUUACUUCUGAGUAUUUCUGUUGAUUCUUUGAGAAUUUUCUCAUAAUAUCAUUUUAAAUAAAAAGACAAUAUUAUUU